rnacentral:lncRNA from 1 species
AAGACCUCCCAUGCUCAUGGAUUGGCAGGAUUAAUUUAGUAAAAAUGGCCAUUUUACCAAAAGCAAUCUACAGAUUCAAUGCAAUCCCCAUCAAAAUACCAAUCCAAUUCUUCAAAGAGUUAGACAGAACAAUUUGCAAAUUCAUCUGGAAUAACAAAAAACCCAGGAUAGCUAAAGCUAUCCUCAACAAUAAAAGGACUUCAGGGGGAAUCACUAUCCCUGAACUCAAGCAGUAUUACAGAGCAAUAGUGAUAAAAACUGCAUGGUAUUGGUACAGAGACAGACAGAUAGACCAAUGGAAUAGAAUUGAAGACCCAGAAAUG